CACCGUAGAGGGGUUCCCACGCUUGUAUUCAAGCUGGAUUUCGCUAAGGCAUUCGACUCCAUCGCCUGGCCGAGCCUUCGCCAGAUCAUGGAGGUCCAGGGGUUCCCGGCUCUCUAGUAUGAUUGGAUGGACCUCAUCCUCCAUUCCUCCAAGGCCGCGGUCCUUCUGAAUGGCGUGCUGGGGUGCUGGUUUGCAGUUCGGAAAGGGCUGCGCCAUGGAGAUCCAAUCUCCCCAUACCUGUUCCUCAGGUCGCGGACGUCCUCUAGCGUAUGA
rnacentral:rRNA from 1 species